rnacentral:rRNA from 1 species
CCCUUAGAUGCUCUGGGCCGCACGCGCGCUACACUGACGAAUGCAACGAGCUUAUAACCUUGGCCGAAAGGUCUGGGUAAUCUCCAAAUUUCGUCGUGAUGGGGAUAGAUUAUUGCAAUUAUUAAUCUUCAACGAGGAAUGCCUAGUAAGCGCAAGUCAUCAGCUUGCGUUGAUUACGUCCCUGCCCUUUGUACACACCGCCCGUCGCUCCUACCGAUUGAAUGGUCCGGUGAAGCGUUCGGACCGUGGCCUUUGGACGGUUCGCCGUCUGUUGGCUGCGGGAAGUUCGUUAAACCUUAUCAUUUAGUGGAAGGAGAAGUCGUAACA